CACACCGCCCGUCACGUCAUGAAAGCUGGCGACACCUGAAGCCGGUGGCCGAACCCGCAAGGGGCGGAGCCGUCGAGGGUGGAAUCAGCGAUUGGGACG
rnacentral:rRNA from 1 species